rnacentral:rRNA from 1 species
UACGAAGGGGGCUAGCGUUGUUCGGAAUUACUGGGCGUAAGCGCACGUAGGCGGAUCGAUCAGUCAGGGGUGAAAUCCCAGAGCUCAACUCUGGAACUGCCUUUGAUACUGAGAAGCUUGAGUUCGGGAGAGGUGAGUGGAACUGCGAGUGUAGAGGUGAAAUUCGUAGAUAUUCGCAAAGAACACCAGUGGCGAAGGCGGCUCACUGGCCCGGUACUGGACGCUGAG